rnacentral:rRNA from 1 species
AUGCAAGUCGAGCGNAGAGAGGUGCUUGCACCUUAUCUUAGCGGCGGACGGGUGAGUAAUGCUUAGGAAUCUGCCUAUUAGUGGGGGACAACAUUCCGAAAGGAAUGCUAAUACCGCAUACGUCCUACGGGAGAAAGCAGGGGAUCUUCGGACCUUGCGCUAAUAGAUGAGCCUAAGUCGGAUUAGCUAGUUGGUGGGGUAAAGGCCUACCAAGGCGACGAUCUGUAGCGGGUCUGAGAGGAUGAUCCGCCACACUGGGACUGAGACACGGCCCAGACUCCUACGGGAGGCAGCAGUGGGGAAUAUUGGACAAUGGGGGGAACCCUGAUCCAGCCAUGCCGCGUGUGUGAAGAAGGCCUUAUGGUUGUAAAGCACUUUAAGCGAGGAGGAGGCUACUGAGACUAAUACUCUUGGAUAGUGGACGUUACUCGCAGAAUAAGCACCGGCUAACUCUGUGCCAGCAGCCGCGGUAAUACAGAGGGUGCGAGCGUUAAUCGGAUUUACUGGGCGUAAAGCGUGCGUAGGCGGCUUUUUAAGUCGGAUGUGAAAUCCNCCGAGCUUAACUUGGGAAUUGCAUUCGAUACUGGGAAGCUAGAGUAUGGGAGAGGAUGGUAGAAUUCCAGGUGUAGCGGUGAAAUGCGUAGAGAUCUGGAGGAAUACCGAUGGCGAAGG